CGUGUAGGCGGUCGGUCAAGUCCGAUGUGAAAGCCCGGGGCUCAGCCCCGGAAGGGCAUCGGAAACUAGCCGGCUGGAGCGCGAUAGAGGAGGGUAGAAUUCCUGGUGUAGCGGUGAAAUGCGUAGAUAUCAGGAGGAAUACCGGCGGCGAAGGCGGCCCUCUGGAUCGUUGCUGACGCUGAGACGCGAAAGCGUGGGAGCAAACA
rnacentral:rRNA from 1 species